UAGAAUUGACGGGGCCCGCACAAGCGGUGGAUUAUGUGGAUAAUUCGAUGCAACGCGAAAACCUUACCUACCCUUGACAUGCCAGGAACUUGCCAGAGAUGGCUUGGUGCCCGAAAGGGAGCCUGGACACAGGUGCUGCAUGGCUGUCGUCAGCUCGUGUCGUGAGAUGUUGGGUUAAGUCCCGCAACGAGCGCAACCCUUGUCAUUAAUUGCCACCAUUCAGUUGGGCACUUUAAUGAGACUGCCGGUGACAAACCGGAGGAAGGUGGGGGAUGACGUCAAGUCCUCAUGGCCCUUAUGGGUAGGGCUUCACACGUAAUACAAUGGUCGGUACAGAGGGUUGCCAACCCGCGAGGGGGAGCUAAUCCCAGAAAACCGAUCGUAGUCCGGAUUGCAGUCUGCAACUCGACUGCAUGAAGUCGGAAUCGCUAGUAAUCGCGGAUCAGCAUGUCCGCGGUUCGAAUACGUUCCGGCCUU
rnacentral:rRNA from 1 species